CUCCCCUCCCCUCCAUGUCUUUCCAAAUUGGAAAGACUAUUAUCAGGCAAAAAAAAACCCCAUUUUCCCUCCCCUCCCCUCCCCUCCCCCUGUUAAGUGGAUCUCUGGAACACAGCAUUAAUUUCUUCUGGUUUCUUUUCAAAAUCAUGCGACCUUACAUCCAUCUGCUUAUUCAACUCCUCCCAAAAUGCCACCCUUUCAUUCUCCACCCGCUUCACCAUUACCCCACCCCACCCCCUCCCCACUGCCUCCCCGGCGACGGUAUCGCACUUGGGGGAGAGAUACUAUCACAUCCUCAUUUAAUCUCAACGAAACCCUAACCAAUGGAACCUACAAAUUAACCACUAUUAUGAAUCCUUGUUAAAUCAAUUUUUCGAUGGAUUCUUCCUUCGCACUUCAAUUGGCCUCCAGAUUUGUCUUCCCCGCCCCAAAUUUCUGAAGAAUCUCUUUUGGAUGUUGGUUUUCAAUUGCAUAAAGAGGUGAUUCAGGUGGAAUCGUCUACCUCUGAUGAUCGGCAAACAAAAGCGUAGGUCGAGCUUAACCCAAAUAUAGAGCGAAGGUGUUCUAAUGUUCCGCCCACAGUUUUCUCGGCUAAAGGUACGGUUGUGUUAGGUAUGGGUCAUACUAAUUCUCCAUUCACAGUUUGCUCGGCUAAAGGCGAUGGUGUUCGAGAUUUUUUGCCUCUUACUGUGUGUACGUAUGUGAGAAGGGAAGGUUCCCUAAAAGAACGAGAACUUUUAUGCGGGCGGCUCAUUGAUCGGCUUAUACGACCAUUUUUCCCAUGAGGGUUAGGUGAUGUCUAGUGUGCUUUCUUCAAAUGAGAAACAAGUUCCAGAUUUAAUGACCUGCAACAAUGUUACGUACAAAAAUGGCGUCAACUAGUGAAUCCAUCACGGAACCACCAUAAAAAGGAUGCUGAUGUCAUGCAAAGGGAAGUCGACUAGAAGGGUGAUAGCAAAACUUAGACAUGUGGAGCUCUAUCAUUCAGCUAACAUUGUAUCGAGGUAUGUAAUAUGAUUGCAGGUGUAUGCCAUUUAUUUAUUUUUAUAGUUUAUUAGAACAAUAGGACAUUUAUAGUUUAAGUUUCAUUAUGUGCUGUCUACACAACAUAGAUUUUGAUCAUGAUGAUGAAAAUUUUGCUACUGCUGAUGUUUCAAGGCCUACAAAAGUUUCUAACAUCUCAACGGUGAGCCAUUUCUAUCUUUGGAUUUUUGGAAAAUAUUGUAGUACUGUACACGCAGGUGAUCAAACACUGAAAAUCCCAUGAUUGUCGCUAAACAUGUAUAUUAAGUUGUUUUUUUUUUCAUAUUGUUAAUGAACCCCUAGAAGCGCACUGUCCUGUAGUUGAACAUCUUCCUUUCUUGUAUUUAAUAGUCUUUAAACCUACUACUACUUCUUUGCUGGUUUUUUUCUUCAGUAUUGAACUUGCUGCCCAGGGUUCAUUUCAAACAAAUCUGUAGUUAGUUGAAGGAAUUUAAAGUUGUAAUUAGUUGAAGGAUAUUUAAAGUUGAUUUUUGUAUAAAUAAUUUUGGUUAAAUUUAGCAUUUGUAUCACGCAUCAAAAAUUGUUAGUAUUGGCAAAGAUUAUUGGGUGCUUGUUUGGGUCGGGGAAUAAGAUAGUCGUGAAUUGCUAGAGAAGAAAGUGACCUAGAAUUGAGUAGAAUUUAGAGAGAGAGAGAAAGUUAGCAAAUAUCAUUAGUUUAUGAACAAAUAGCAUUCUCUGCAGCUUGAUUGUUUUGCGUUCGAUCCCACGUUAGUUGUUGCUCAUAAACAGGAGCAUUUACUGAUGCUUUGUUUAUAUACUAUGCAGGGAAUGAGAGAAGGUUGUGUUGUUACAACUUGUAAGUGCGGCUAGGAGUGAUAGUUUGAGACAAAAGUAUUGUUGCAAGUGCUCCUAGGAGUGAUGCAAGUUAUGUUAGAGUUGCUGCAUCAUUUGUAUAUAUCUUUUGAUUAGAACUUAGAAGUUUAUGUAUCUAGUAUUUAAAUUGAAAACUUAUGCAUGGGUUUUGGUUUAUUAUUGUUAAUGUCAUUAAAUUUGCUUUUA